CUUGCAAACUGACUCGAGGAGACCCUUAGUUCCAGAGCCACAACUGUCCGCACCUGACAGUUCUUGGGGACCUGGAGACCGUUGACCAGGCUGAGGGCUGACACAGGGCACCUCGGAAGUGAGAAGCGCCCUGUUCCGGGGUCAUGUGGCCACCACUGGUGCUGCUGUUUUUGCUGCUUCCUGCUGCCCAUGGCGCCCCCCACCCGGCUGCGGACCUCCAGGAAAACUUUCCAAGUGUACUCGAAGAAAUCCAAACUGAAGGAGACAGAGGCAUGUGGAGGGAAGACAACCCGUUCGCUGGCUCCCGCUGUCCUCCUGGCUCAUGAGGUGGCUUCUGUGUGGUCCAAAAGCUGGGGGCGAGGACCUGUAACCUCAUGAGGGCCUGCCAGGCACAGAUUUGGAGCUCCACACUCCUCCCAAAACCUUCUGGUCUCCUCCGCGGCCCUUCAGCUGCUGAAGGGGCUGGGGGUGGACACCAUUAUCCUAGCAGGGGACAUAUGUGGAACUCACCAGACCCACCUGCAGCACCAUUUCAAAAUAAAAGUCAAAUUUCAAGCUUA